AGGUUCUGUGUGCUGGACUGGAAAGUCCAAACUCCAGACUGCAGAUUCUGAGGUUGGAGAGCUGCAAUUUGUCAGAGAUCAGCUGUGAUGCUCUGGUCUCUGCUCUGAAAUCCAACCCGUCCCACCUGACAGAACUGGACCUGAGUGGGAACAAAGACCUGUAUGAUUCCUGAGUGAAACACUUCUGUGGUCUUCUGGAGAGUCCAGAAUGCAGACUGAAGUCUCUGAGGCUGGACGACUGCGGCUUGUCUAAAGCCAGCUGUGACGCUCUGGUCUCAGCUCUGAGGUCUGCUGGGAACCACCUGACAGAACUGGAUCUGAGAGGGAACAGACUGCAGGACUCAAAUGUUGGGCCGCUCCAGGACCUGAUGAAGAGUCCGGACUGCAACCUGCGCAC